AUCAUGGCUCAGAUUGAACGCUGGCGGCAGGCCUAACACAUGCAAGUCGAGCGGGUUUCGGACCUAGCGGCGGACGGGUGAGUAAUGCGUAGGAAGCUACCGAUAGAGGGGGAUACCAGUUGGAAAUGACUGUUAAUACCGCAUAAUGUCUACGGACCAAAGUGUGGGACCUUCGGGCCACAUGCUAUCGGAUGCGCCUACGUGGGAUUAGCUAGUUGUGGGGUAAUGGCUCACCAAGGCGACGAUCCCUAGCUGGUUUGAGAGGAUGAUCAGCCACACUGGAACUGAGACACGGUCCAGACUCCUACGGGAGGCAGCAGUGGGGAAUAUUGGACAAUGGGCGCAAGCCUGAUCCAGCCAUGCCGCGUGUGUGAAGAAGGCCUUCGGGUUGUAAAGCACUUUCAGCGAGGAGGAAGGGAGUUGUGUUAAUAGCACAGCUUUUUGACGUUACUCGCAGAAGAAGCACCGGCUAACUCUGUG
rnacentral:rRNA from 1 species